rnacentral:rRNA from 1 species
UCGGGAGAAGGUGUGCCCCGGUAGCGUGUAGAGACUUGCUCUCGAAGCGCGAUGGGGUUGCAGUGAAAUGGUGGCUGCGACUGUUUAAUAAAAACACAGCACUCUGCAAACACGAAAGUGGACGUAUAGGGUGUGACGCCUGCCCGGUGCCGGAAGGUUAAGUGAUGGGGUGCAAGCUCUUGAUCGAAGCCCCGGUAAACGGCGGCCGUAACUAUAACGGUCCUAAGGUAGCGAAAUUCCUUGUCGGGUAAGUUCCGACCUGCACGAAUGGCGUAACGAUGGCCACACUGUCUCCUCCUGGGACUCAGCGAAGUUGAAAUGUUUGUGAAGAUGCAAUCUACCCGCGGCUAGACGGAAAGACCCCAUGAACCUUUACUGUAGCUUUGCAUUGGACUUUGAACCGGUUUGUGUAGGAUAGGUGGGAGACUGUGAAGCCGGGACGCUAGUUUCGGUGGAGUCAACCUUGAAAUACCACCCUGAUUUGUUUGAGGUUCUAACCUUGGUCCGUGAAUCCGGAUCGGGGACCGUGCAUGGUAGGCAGUUUGACUGGGGCGGUCUCCUCCCAAAAGGUAACGGAGGAGUACGAAGGUACGCUUAGGGCAGUCGGACAUCGCCCACAAAGUGCAAUGGCAAAAGCGUGCUUGACUGCGAGACCCACAAGUCGAGCAGGUACGAAAGUAGGUCAUAGUGAUCCGGUGGUUCUGUAUGGAAGGGCCAUCGCUCAACGGAUAAAAGGUACUCUGGGGAUAACAGGCUAAUUCCUCCCAAGAGUUCAUAUCGACGGGGGAGUUUGGCACCUCGAUGUCGGCUCAUCACAUCCUGGGGCUGUAGUCGGUCCCAAGGGUAUGGCUGUUCGCCAUUUAAAGUGGUACGCGAGCUGGGUUUAAAACGUCGUGAGACAGUUUGGUCCCUAUCUGCCGUGGGCGCUGGAAAUUUGAAGGGGGCUGCUCCUAGUACGAGAGGACCGGAGUGGACGAACCUCUGGUGUACCGGUUAUGACGCCAGUCGUAUCGCCGGGUAGCUAAGUUCGGAAGAGAUAAACGCUGAAAGCAUCUAAGCGUGAAACUCGCCUUAAGAUAAGAUUUCCCGGAGUCUUGAACUCCCUGAAGGGUCGUCGAAGACCACGACGUUGAUAGGUCAGGUGUGGAAGCGCAGCAAUGCGUUAAGCUAACUGAUACUAAUUGCCCGUGCGGCUUGAUCCC